rnacentral:rRNA from 1 species
GCGGACGGGUGAGUAACACGUGGGUAACCUGCCUGUAAGACUGGGAUAACUCCGGGAAACCGGGGCUAAUACCGGAUAACUCAGUUCCUCGCAUGAGGAACGGUUGAAAGGUGGCUUUUUGCUACCACUUACAGAUGGACCCGCGGCGCAUUAGCUAGUUGGUGAGGUAACGGCUCACCAAGGCGACGAUGCGUAGCCGACCUGAGAGGGUGAUCGGCCACACUGGGACUGAGACACGGCCCAGACUCCUACGGGAGGCAGCAGUAGGGAAUCUUCCGCAAUGGACGAAAGUCUGACGGAGCAACGCCGCGUGAGUGAAGAAGGUUUUCGGAUCGUAAAACUCUGUUGUUAGGGAAGAACAAGUGCCGUUCGAAUAGGGCGGCACCUUGACGGUACCUAACCAGAAAGCCACGGCUA